rnacentral:rRNA from 1 species
GACGAACGCUGGCGGCGUGCUUAAUACAUGCAAGUAGAACGCAGUUGCGAACGGGUGAGUAACGCGUAGGUAACUGCCUCAUAGCGGCGGAUAACUAUUGGAAACGAUAGCUAAUACCGCAUACUGUGAGAUCGACCUGAGUUGUAUUAGCUAGUUGGUGAGUUAAAGGCUCACCAAGGCGACGAUACAUAGCCGACCUGAGAGGGGGAUAGGGCACGAUGGGACUGACAGACGGCGCAGACUCCGACGGGAGGAAGCAGUAGGGACUCUUCGGAGAUAGACGGAAGUAUGACUGAGCAACGCCGCGUGAGUGAAGAAGGUUUUCGGGUCGGAAGGCACUGUUGUUAGAGAAGCGGUAACUGAACAGAAAGGGACGGCUAACUACGUGCCAGCAGCCGCGGUAAUAC